AGCAUCUCAACACUCCUUCAAAGCAAAACAUACCUGGGAUUCCUGCAACUCCUGUUUCUCCUCUGAUCCCAUGUGGCCCUGGUACUCCUUUAUGUCCUGGCUGACCUUGGGACCCUUUUUCUCCUUUGCUGCCCAAACGUCCAGGAGCACCUGUAUCUCCCUAAGAAACAGCAGUUGCACACAAACAGGCAUUUGGGGAAUCCUUACCUGGCACACCAUCGAUUCCUGGUCUUCCAGACCGUCCCUUGAGACCAGUACCUCUUAGGCCAUCAUCACCAUCAUGUCCAGCACGUCCUGGUAGGCCUGGAAGUCCUGGAAAUCCCGUAUCACCUUUUGGACCAGGAAUGCCACGACUUCCUGGUGAACCAAGUCUGCCUGGCUCUCCAUGAAUAAUCAUGCCUGGGUCCCCCUGCAACACAGAGAUGUGAACAAUACACAUGUACUACGUUUUGCAAGUCUGCCAAAAUAUUCUUUCCACCCCGCAAUCAAC